GACGCCGCGUGAGGGAUGACGGCCUUCGGGUUGUAAACCUCUUUCAGUAGGGAAGAAGCGAAAGUGACGGUACCUGCAGAAGAAGCGCCGGCUAACUACGUGCCAGCAGCCGCGGUAAUACGUAGGGCGCAAGCGUUAUCCGGAAUUAUUGGGCGUAAAGAGCUCGUAGGCGGUUUGUCGCGUCUAUCGUGAAAGUCCGAGGCUCAACCUCGGAUCUGCGGUGGGUACGGGCAGACUAGAGUGAUGUAGGGGAGACUGGAAUUCCUGGUGUAGCGGUGAAAUGCGCAGAUAUCAGGAGGAACACCGAUGGCGAAGGCAGGUCUCUGGGCAUUAACUGACGCUGAGGAGCGAAAGCAUGGGGAGCGAACAGGAUUAGAUACCCUGGUAGUCCAUGCCGUAAACGUUGGGCACUAGGUGUGGGGGACAUUCCACGUUUUCCGCGCCGUAGCUAACGCAUUAAGUGCCCCGCCUGGGGAGUACGGCCGCAAGGCUAAAACUCAAAGGAAUUGACGGGGGCCCGCACAAGCGGCGGAGCAUGCGGAUUAAUUCGAUGCAACGCGAAGAACCUUACCAAGGCUUGACAUGUGCCAGAUCGCCGUGGAAACACGGUUUCCCCUUUGGGGCUGGUUCACAGGUGGUGCAUGGUUGUCGUCAGCUCGUGUCGUGAGAUGUUGGGUUAAGUCCCGCAACGAGCGCAACCCUCGUUCCAUGUUGCCAGCACGUAGUGGUGGGGACUCAUGGGAGACUGCCGGGGUCAACUCGGAGGAAGGUGGGGACGACGUCAAAUCAUCAUGCCCCUUAUGUCUUGGGCUUCACGCAUGCUACAAUGGCCGGUACAAUGGGUUGCGAUACUGUGAGGUGGAGCUAAUCCCAAAAAGCCGGUCUCAGUUCGGAUUGGGGUCUGCAACUCGACCCCAUGAAGUCGGAGUCGCUAGUAAUCGCAGAUCAGCAACGCUGCGGUGAAUACGUUCCCGGGCCUUGUACACACCGCCCGUCAAGUCACGAAAGUUGGUAACACCCGAAGCCGGUGGCCUAACCCCUU
rnacentral:rRNA from 1 species